CCGAGAUUCCCCCAGUAGCGGCGAGCGAACGGGGAGGAGCCCAGAGCCUGAAUCAGCAUGUGUGUUAGUGGAAGCGUCUGGAAAGGUGCGCGAUACAGGGUGACAGCCCCGUACACAAAAGCGCAUGUGCUGUGAGCUCGAUGAGUAGGGCGGGACACGUGGUAUCCUGUCUGAAUAUGGGGGGACCAUCCUCCAAGGCUAAAUACUCCUGACUGACCGAUAGUGAACCAGUACCGUGAGGGAAAGGCGAAAAGAACCCCGGCGAGGGGAGUGAAAAAGAACCUGAAACCGUGUACGUACAAGCAGUGGGAGCACCCUUCGGGGUGUGACUGCGUACCUUUUGUAUAAUGGGUCAGCGACUUAUAUUCUGUAGCAAGGUUAACCGUAUAGGGGAGCCGUAGGGAAACCGAGUCUUAACCGGGCGUUAAGUUGCAGGGUAUAGACCCGAAACCCGGUGAUCUAGCCAUGGGCAGGUUGAAGGUUGGGUAACACUAACUGGAGGACCGAACCGACUAAUGUUGAAAAAUUAGCGGAUGACCUGUGGCUGGGGGUGAAAGGCCAAUCAAACCGGGAGAUAGCUGGUUCUCCCCGAAAGCUAUUUAGGUAGCGCCUCGUGAAUUCAUCUCCGGGGGUAGAGCACUGUUUCGGCUAGGGGGCCAUCCCGGCUUACCAACCCGAUGCAAACUGCGAAUACCGGAGAAUGUUAUCACGGGAGACACACGGCGGGUGCUAACGUCCGUCGUGAAGAGGGAAACAACCCAGACCGCCAGCUAAGGUCCCAAAGUCAUGGUUAAGUGGGAAACGAUGUGGGAAGGCCCAGACAGCCAGGAUGUUGGCUUAGAAGCAGCCAUCAUUUAAAGAAAGCGUAAUAGCUCACUGGUCGAGUCGGCCUGCGCGGAAGAUGUAACGGGGCUAAACCAUGCACCGAAGCUGCGGCAGCGAACGUAUCACCCAAGACAACUUUACGGAGUUGACGAUUGACGGAGCGAAGCGACGUCAAAGCGUUCAUUAAAGUCGAGUUGGCUUAGGGAUACGUUCGUUGGGUAGGGGAGCGUUCUGUAAGCCUGUGAAGGUGUGUCGUGAGGCAUGCUGGAGGUAUCAGAAGUGCGAAUGCUGACAUAAGUAACGAUAAAGCGGGUGAAAAGCCCGCUCGCCGGAAGACCAAGGGUUCCUGUCCAACGUUAAUCGGGGCAGGGUGAGUCGACCCCUAAGGCGAGGCCGAAAGGCGUAGUCGAUGGGAAACGGGUUAAUAUUCCCGUACUUGGUGUUACUGCGAAGGGGGGACGGAGAAGGCUAUGUUGGCCGGGCGACGGUUGUCCCGGUUUAAGCGUGUAGGUGUGUGUUCCAGGUAAAUCCGGUUCACUUUAACACUGAGGCGUGACGACGAGGCACUACGGUGCUGAAGCAACAAAUGCCCUGCUUCCAGGAAAAGCCUCUAAGCAUCAGGUAACACGAAAUCGUACCCCAAACCGACACAGGUGGUCAGGUAGAGAAUACCAAGGCGCUUGAGAGAACUCGGGUGAAGGAACUAGGCAAAAUGGUGCCGUAACUUCGGGAGAAGGCACGCUGACACGUAGGUGAAGUGAUUUACUCAUGGAGCUGAAGUCAGUCGAAGAUACCAGCUGGCUGCAACUGUUUAUUAAAAACACAGCACUGUGCAAACACGAAAGUGGACGUAUACGGUGUGACGCCUGCCCGGUGCCGGAAGGUUAAUUGAUGGGGUCAGCGCAAGCGAAGCUCCUGAUCGAAGCCCCGGUAAACGGCGGCCGUAACUAUAACGGUCCUAAGGUAGCGAAAUUCCUUGUCGGGUAAGUUCCGACCUGCACGAAUGGCGUAAUGAUGGCCAGGCUGUCUCCACCCGAGACUCAGUGAAAUUGAACUCGCUGUGAAGAUGCAGUGUACCCGCGGCAAGACGGAAAGACCCCGUGAACCUUUACUAUAGCUUGACACUGAACAUUGAGCCUUGAUGUGUAGGAUAGGUGGGAGGCUUUGAAGUGUGGACGCCAGUCUGCAUGGAGCCGACCUUGAAAUACCACCCUUUAAUGUUUGAUGUUCUAACGUGGACCCGUAAUCCGGGUUGCGGACAGUGUCUGGUGGGUAGUUUGACUGGGGCGGUCUCCUCCUAAAGAGUAACGGAGGAGCACGAAGGUUGGCUAAUCCUGGUCGGACAUCAGGAGGUUAGUGCAAUGGCAUAAGCCAGCUUGACUGCGAGCGUGACGGCGCGAGCAGGUGCGAAAGCAGGUCAUAGUGAUCCGGUGGUUCUGAAUGGAAGGGCCAUCGCUCAACGGAUAAAAGGUACUCCGGGGAUAACAGGCUGAUACCGCCCAAGAGUUCAUAUCGACGGCGGUGUUUGGCACCUCGAUGUCGGCUCAUCACAUCCUGGGGCUGAAGUAGGUCCCAAGGGUAUGGCUGUUCGCCAUUUAAAGUGGUACGCGAGCUGGGUUUAGAACGUCGUGAGACAGUUCGGUCCCUAUCUGCCGUGGGCGCUGGAGAACUGAGGGGGGCUGCUCCUAGUACGAGAGGACCGGAGUGGACGCAUCACUGGUGUUCGGGUUGUCAUGCCAAUGGCACUGCCCGGUAGCUAAAUGCGGAAGAGAUAAGUGCUGAAAGCAUCUAAGCACGAAACUUGCCCCGAGAUGAGUUCUCCCUGAGACUUAG
rnacentral:rRNA from 1 species